AUGUGGGGUUUUUUUGGCUGGAAACAUGAACAUGUAGUGGUGAUUCAGAAGCUGGGAGUUGUGAUAUAUAUACCUGCAUUUUCAAACAGAAUGCAUUAUAUCCUUUUUCACAGGAGCCAAAACUAGGGAUGGAGAGAGGUAAUAAAAGACACAACAAAG
rnacentral:lncRNA from 12 species